rnacentral:rRNA from 1 species
GACGAACGCUGGCGGCGUGCUUAACACAUGCAAGUCGAACGGAAAGGCCUGCUUUCCCUUGUGGAUUGCGGGUACUCGAGUGGCGAGCGGGUGAGUAACACGUGAGUGAUCUGCCCCCAACUUGGGUAUAAGCCUGGGAAACUGGGUCUAAUUCCCGAUAGGACUGCAGGGUGGUGCCUGUGGUGGAAAACGAUUUUCUAGUGGUUGGGGAUGAGCUCGCGGCCUAUCAGCUUGUUGGUGGGGUAAUGGCCUACCAAGGCGGCGACGGGUAGCCGGCCUGAGAGGGUGGACGGCCACAUUGGGACUGAGAUACGGCCCAGACUCCUACGGGAGGCAGCAGUGGGGAAUAUUGCACAAUGGGCGGAAGCCUGAUGCAGCGACGCCGCGUGGGGGAUGACGGCCUUCGGGUUGUAAACUCCUUUCGACCGCGAGGAAGCCACCUGGUUGGAAGGGUGGUGACGGUAGUGGUAGAAGAAGCACCGGCUAACUACGUG